CGAAAGCUAUUUAGGUAGCGCCUCGUGAAUUCAUCUCCGGGGGUAGAGCACUGUUUCGGCUAGGGGGCCAUCCCGGCUUACCAACCCGAUGCAAACUGCGAAUACCGGAGAAUGUUAUCACGGGAGACACACGGCGGGUGCUAACGUCCGUCGUGAAGAGGGAAACAACCCAGACCGCCAGCUAAGGUCCCAAAGUCAUAGUUAAGUGGGAAACGAUGUGGGAAGGCCCAGACAGCCAGGAUGUUGGCUUAGAAGCAGCCAUCAUUUAAAGAAAGCGUAAUAGCUCACUGGUCGAGUCGGCCUGCGCGGAAGAUGUAACGGGGCUAAACUAUGCACCGAAGCUGCGGCAGCGACACUAUGUGUUGUUGGGUAGGGGAGCGUUCUGUAAGCCUGUGAAGGUGUGUCGUGAGGCAUGCUGGAGGUAUCAGAAGUGCGAAUGCUGACAUAAGUAACGAUAAAGCGGGUGAAAAGCCCGCUCGCCGGAAGACCAAGGGUUCCUGUCCAACGUUAAUCGGGGCAGGGUGAGUCGACCCCUAAGGCGAGGCCGAAAGGCGUAGUCGAUGGGAAACGGGUUAAUAUUCCCGUACUUGGUGUUACUGCGAAGGGGGGACGGAGAAGGCUAUGUUGGCCGGGCGACGGUUGUCCCGGUUUAAGCGUGUAGGUGUGUGUUCCAGGUAAAUCCGGUUCACUUUAACACUGAGGCGUGAUGACGAGGCACUACGGUGCUGAAGCAACAAAUGCCCUGCUUCCAGGAAAAGCCUCUAAGCAUCAGGUAACAUCAAAUCGUACCCCAAACCGACACAGGUGGUCAGGUAGAGAAUACCAAGGCGCUUGAGAGAACUCGGGUGAAGGAACUAGGCAAAAUGGUGCCGUAACUUCGGGAGAAGGCACGCUGACACGUAGGUGAAGUGAUUUACUCAUGGAGCUGAAGUCAGUCGAAGAUACCAGCUGGCUGCAACUGUUUAUUAAAAACACAGCACUGUGCAAACACGAAAGUGGACGUAUACGGUGUGACGCCUGCCCGGUGCCGGAAGGUUAAUUGAUGGGGUCAGCGCAAGCGAAGCUCCUGAUCGAAGCCCCGGUAAACGGCGGCCGUAACUAUAACGGUCCUAAGGUAGCGAAAUUCCUUGUCGGGUAAGUUCCGACCUGCACGAAUGGCGUAAUGAUGGCCAGGCUGUCUCCACCCGAGACUCAGUGAAAUUGAACUCGCUGUGAAGAUGCAGUGUACCCGCGGCAAGACGGAAAGACCCCGUGAACCUUUACUAUAGCUUGACACUGAACAUUGAGCCUUGAUGUGUAG
rnacentral:rRNA from 1 species